UACGUAGGGUGCAAGCGUUAAUCGGAAUUACUGGGCGUAAAGCGUGCGCAGGCGGUUCGCUAAGACCGAUGUGAAAUCCCCGGGCUUAACCUGGGAACUGCAUUGGUGACUGGCGGGCUGGAGUACGGCAGAGGGGGAUGGAAUUCCGCGUGUAGCAGUGAAAUGCGUAGAUAUGCGGAGGAACACCGAUGGCGAAGGCAAUCCCCUGGGCCUGUACUGACGCUCAUGCACGAAAGCGUGGGGAGCAAACAGG
rnacentral:rRNA from 1 species